rnacentral:rRNA from 1 species
CAGUCGCCGCGGGAAUACGAAGGGUGCAAGCGUUACUCGGAAUUACUGGGCGUAAAGCGUGCGUAGGUGGUAGUUUAAGUCCGUUGUGAAAGCCCUGGGCUCAACCUGGGAAUUGCAGUGGAUACUGGGUCACUAGAGUGUGGUAGAGGAUAGUGGAAUUUCCGGUGUAGCAGUGAAAUGCGUAGAGAUCGGAAGGAACAUCUGUGGCGAAGGCGACUAUCUGGGCCAACACUGACACUGAGGCACGAAAGCGUGGGGAGCAAACAGGAUUAGAUACCCGUGUAGUCCCUGUCUCUUAUAC